rnacentral:lncRNA from 1 species
GUUAGGACUCUAGCUUGGAGAGUCCUAAUUGAGAGGGACAUUCAUGUAAAACUGUUAGGACUCUAGCUAAGAGAGUCCUAAUUGAGAGGGACAUUCUAUUAGGACUCUAGCUAGGAGAGUCCUAAUUGAGAGGGGCAUUCAUGUAGGAGGUUUUUUCUUAGAGAAUAAUUAGGAGUUGUAAGGGAAUAGGAGUCUUGAGUAGGAGUCCUAUUAGGAGUUUGUUAGAAGUAAGAGUCUUAAGUAGGAGUCCUAUUAGGAGUUAGGGUUUAGAAGCCCUAUAAAUAGUCAUGUAUUCCUUCUCUUUU